rnacentral:rRNA from 1 species
UACGUAGGGGCCGAGCGUUGUCCGGAGUUAUUGGGCGUAAAGCGCGUGUAGGCGGCCUUGCAAGUCGGGUGUGAAAGCCCUCAGCUCAACUGAGGAAGCGCGCCCGAAACUGCAGAGCUUGAGUACCGGAGAGGAUGGCGGAAUUCCCCAAGUAGAGGUGAAAUUCGUAGAUAUGGGGAGGAACACCGGUGGCGAAGGCGGCCAUCUGGACGGAUACUGACGCUGAGACGCGAAAGCGUGGGGAACAAACAGG